rnacentral:rRNA from 1 species
AGCGAACGCUGGCGGCAGGCCUAACACAUGCAAGUCGAACGAAGUCUUCGGACUUAGUGGCGGACGGGUGAGCAACACGUGGGAACGUGCCUUUAGGUUCAGAAUAACUCAGGGAAACUUGUGCUAAUACCGAAUGUGCCCUUCGGGGGAAAGAUUUAUCGCCUUUAGAGCGGCCCGCGUCUGUUUAGCUAGUUGGUGAGGUAAAGGCUCACCAAGGCGACGAUCAGUAGCUGGUCUGAGAGGAUGAUCAGCCACAUUGGGACUGAGACACGGCCCAAACUCCUACGGGAGGCAGCAGUGGGGAAUCUUGCGCAAUGGGCGAAAGCCUGACGCAGCCAUGCCGCGUGAAUGAUGAAGGUCUUAGGAUUGUAAAAUUCUUUCACCGGGGACGAUAAUGACGGUACCCGGAGAAGAAGCCCCGGCUAACUUCGUGCCAGCCGCCGCCGUAA